rnacentral:rRNA from 1 species
ACUUAAAUUGAAGAGUUUGAUCAUGGCUCAGAUUGAACGCUGGCGGCAGGCCUAACACAUGCAAGUCGAACGGUAGCAG